CUCUGUGACUCCUACGGGAGGCAGCAGUGGGGAAUAUUGCACAAUGGGCGCAAGCCUGAUGCAGCCAUGCCGCGUGUGUGAAGAAGGCCUUCGGGUUGUAAAGCACUUUCAGUUGUGAGGAAGGUGGUGUCGUUAAUAGCGGCAUCAUUUGACGUUAGCAACAGAAGAAGCACCGGCUAACUCCGUGCCAGCAGCCGCGGUAAUACGGAGGGUGCGAGCGUUAAUCGGAAUUACUGGGCGUAAAGCGCAUGCAGGUGGUUUGUUAAGUCAGAUGUGAAAGCCCGGGGCUCAACCUCGGAAUUGCAUUUGAAACUGGCAGACUAGAGUACUGUAGAGGGGGUAGAAUUUCAGGUGUAGCGGUGAAAUGCGUAGAGAUCUGAAGGAAUACCGGUGGCGAAGGCGACUUACUGGACUGUAACUGACGCUGAUGCACGAAAGCGUGGGUAGCGAACAGGAUUAGAUACCCUGGUAG
rnacentral:rRNA from 1 species